AUAGCACUAAUUCUCGUGCAGGUGUGUCGCCGAAAUCUGAGCCGGUGAAGGGCUGUGAACUUUAGACUUUAGUUACUGUUUUCUGCCGUUUUGGAGAGUAUCACAACGCAUACUGUACGUACACUUUAUCCUAAGUGUAAACAACACUGAUUAUGUUCUUUGGUACUCUCCAAAAUGGUAGAAGACAGUAACUCGGUGGAGAAGAAUUGUUAAAUAAAUUGUUAUUUUUGUUUUCUUUGAGCACAAAAAGUAUUCUCAUAGUUUUGCAAAAAACACAUCAUAAAACCAGUUUCUCAUUCUUUUGAACAAGUUGCGAUUGCUUUUGUACAUUCAUGCAAUUGAUUAUGCACAUUUAUCUGCGGUUUCCUACAUUAUCAGUUGCUAAUGUCAUGUUGCUCAAAAUGUAUUAUAUAGUUUUCUAUGCAAUAGUCUUACCCUUCAAAACAUCUGGUCUUUAGUUCAUCGUAUAAGUCAUUAAAUGCAAAAUGGUUCAUCUAGUUGUCAUAAACUGCCAAGCACAUUUCUUUUUAAACAUUAUUAUUAGACUUUUUGUAAAUUUGGCAUGAAUUGUGCAAGUGAAUCUUGACUAAUGAAGAGAAAGUAUAUCAACCAAUGAUACACCAUUUCCCUGAAAUAGCUCAAAGGUUCAUUUUAUGAAUCUUGUAGUGGAAAAAUUCAUUUACAUUGCUUCUGCAUGACCAUAUAUGCAUGUGUUUUCUUAGAACUGCUGUGUGGACACAGUGAGAGAUGGGUUUAGGGCCUAAGAGUAAGCUGUAUGGGCAACAGGUGGUCCACGGAGCCGUGUUGGGUGCAGAAGGGAGACACCUGGGGGGAAACAGAUGCCUGAGGAUGACCUGAGAGGCGCUGCUGCAGAAGCGCGAGGGCUCAUCUCAGCUGAUGAUGGAUUCAGUGUAUCGCUUCCAGGUCACCUUCCUCUUCUGCUCCUCUCCACAAGCUCCUACAGGGCUUUGUCACUCGCAUCUGACCUCUAACCUCCGACCUUAGUGAUAUCAGGACCAGUGGAUCAGGAUGCGUCUGUGCUGGCCUGAAUGCAUCAUGGAAACACUGCACAGUAGCCGAAUUGCUAAUAUAAACUCAUUAAUGCUAACAUUUGUAUAUUCUUAGAUUUAUUUAUAAAGAUUUGGACCGCAUGUAUUUUGAAUAACUACUUUUAGAAUAGCUUUUUUAGGAUCAGCUGUUAACAAACACCCUAAUAUAUAUUUCAAAAACGCAAACCAACCUCAAAUGUUCAGUUGGUUCAAUUUUGUAAAUCCUAAAUAAUUAUUGUCACAAAUUGGUCUUCCGUUGAAUUUUUUAUAAAUCAGAAAUCAAUAAACACAACUGCACAAAUGAGUCCUCCUCUCUU
ensembl:lncRNA